GAAACUAACAAGGAUUCCCCUAGUUACUGAGAGUGAAGCGAGAUGAGCUCAAAUUUGAAAUCUGGCGGUUCCUCCGUACGAGUUGUAAUCUGGAGAAGNGUCUUCCGGGCCGGACCGAGUUCAACUNCCUUCGAAUAGGGCGUCAUAGAGGGUGAGAAUUCCGUCUUUGACACGGCACCCUAUGCUCUGNGAAGCGCUCUUGAAGAGUUGAUNUGUUUGGGAANUCAGCUCAAAAUGGGUAGUAAAUNCCAUCUAAAGCUAAAUAUCGAAGAGAGACCGAUAGCGAACAAGUACCGUGAGGGAAAGAUGAAAAGCACUUUGGAAAGAGAGUAAAACACUACGUGAAAUUUUUGAACGGGAAUCGCUUGAAGUCAGUCGCGCCUUCUGGAACUCAGCCUUGCUUCUGCUUGGUGCACUUUCCAGUUUGGCGGGCCAACAUUUGUUUUGGCGGGUAGACAAAGGUCUGGGGAAUGAGGCAGCUCCGGGAGUGUUAUAGCCCCUCUCCGUACAAGGCCGCCGGGACAGAGGAAUCCGGCGCUUGCGCAUGGGAUGCUGGCGUAAUGGCCUUAAGCGACC
rnacentral:rRNA from 1 species